rnacentral:rRNA from 1 species
AGUGACGAUAGCCUAGGAGAUACACCUGUACCCAUGCCGAACACAGAAGUUAAGCCCUAGAACGCCGGAAGUAAUUGGGGGUUGCCCCCUGUGAGAUAGGGAAGUCGCUUAGCU